rnacentral:misc_RNA from 1 species
UGGCAGCCUGCUUAUUUCCUAUCAAACUGCCGACAUUCUUUAGCAGUGUUGCCUUAUCGCAGGUUUCCGCCAACGCUCGUUGCCGUUUUGCCUAGCAAGAAGCUCACCAAAGUGUCUUCUGCACGCGCGCCCANCAUCACAGUCAAGUGACCGGUGUCCCGAAACAGCCAAAGGCCGCCAUUCAUCACCUCGCACACACUCGGGCAGAGGUAAUCUUCCGGAAACAGUGUCGUCACUUUGUCAG